rnacentral:rRNA from 1 species
CGCUGGCGGCGUGCCUAAUACAUGCAAGUCGAACGGUCUUUCUAUGGAAGCUUGCUUCCACUGAGAAGAUAGUGGCGAACGGGUGAGUAACACGUGGGUAACCUGCCCAUAAGAGGGGGAUAACAUCCGGAAACGGGUGCUAAUACCGCAUAGUUUUCUUGAUCGCAUGAUUGAGAAAGGAAAGACGGCCUUUGUGCUGUCGCUUAUGGAUGGACCCGCGGCGUAUUAGUUAGUUGGUGAGGUAAUGGCUCACCAAGACGAUGAUACGUAGCCGACCUGAGAGGUGAUCGGCCACAUUGGGACUGAGACACGGCCCAAACUCCUACGGGAGGCAGCAGUAGGGAAUCUUCCGCAAUGGACGAAAGUCUGACGGAGCAACGCCGCGUGAGUGAAGAAAGGUUUUCGGAUCGUAAAACUCUGUUGUCAGAGAAGAACAAGUUGGAGAGUAACUGCUCCAGCCUUGACGGUAUCUGACCAGAAAGCCACGGCUAACUACGUGCCAGCAGCCGC